GAAAUAAUUCUUGGGCUUGAAUAUUCUAAUAAUUUAUUCACGGGUUGUCCCUUUAUGCCGAUAUUUUACCCCUCACUAUCACUCAGGGUAAAAUAUUUGUCAUAAAGGGCCAACCCGUGGUAAAAUCACGAUGUAUUCAAGCCCCCAUGAAUUAUUUC
rnacentral:sRNA from 1 species